CCUCCUCCCCGGCCGGGCUCGCGGUGCCUGGUCCCUCCUGAUGCCGCUCCUGCCGCCGCCGCCGCCUCUGGGUUCCUCCCCCUGCACCAUAUGUCCCACCAAGUGAUGCGGCGGUACACAGUGGUACGCAGCCAGCCGAAGGCCCUCAGCUGAAUGCACAGCUAGAAGGUUGGCUUUUACAGGGUCGGUCAACAAAAAGACGCAGACGUAGAGAAUGGACCUGAGCACACGGCGAGGGGGAAGGAUGUUGCUCCUCAAUAAAGCUUUUGGACCCUUAAUUCCUCAGCAUCUGUUUCCCAGAGAAUGCAACAGACUAAAGCAGGGACUUUCCUGGUGGCACAGUGAUUAAGAAUCUGCCUGCCAGUGCAGGGGACACGGGUUCGAGCCCUGGUCUGGGAAGAUCCCACGUGCCGUGGAGCAACUAAGCCCGUGCAUCACAACUCCUGAGCCUGUGCUCUAGAGCCCGAGAGUCACAACUACUGAAGCCCGUGUGCCACAACUACUGAAGCCCACGCGCCUAGAGCCCAUGCUCCGCAACAAGAGAAACCACUGUAAUGAGAAGCCCACGCACCACAACGAAGAGUAGCCCCUGCUCACUGCGACUAGAGAAAGCCCACACACAGCAAUGAAGACCCAACACAGCCAAAAAAGAUAAUAACAAUAAAUAAAUAAAUAAAUAAAUAAAUAAAUACUAAAGCAUAUAAAA